UGAGAUAGCGGUAUUGAAGGCCUGUCUGUCGGCAUUCAAUACGGCGAAAUUAAAAGAUAGACUAUGUGUGUAGACGCUUUUGCUGAAAUACUUUGGGACGCGGGUUCGAUUCCCGCCGCUUCCACCA
rnacentral:tmRNA from 1 species